GCUAUUUUGUUUUUGCUCACAAACCAUUUAGCCCACUUCACAACUUCCUUUCCAGUUGAAUGAUGUUCAGCAAUGGCGCCGCCUCCAUCUCUUGCUGUAAUGGCGACUGGCGAUGAAUCAAGCCAACUGCGACUUUAGCAGAAAUUGUGCCAUUGAUCCAGAGCGAAAUGUGGAGCAAUAUCCCCAACAGGUCAUUCGGCUUCUGUUCAUUCAUUCCAAAAUCCUGUAAUUGAUUUCCUUGCAAUAUCUUGCCCUAAAUAUUUAUCUGAAAUUUCUUUGGAUACGUAGCAUUAUUGGUUAAAUUAAGUUAGGGCAAUCUCUGCGGUUCUAUUAUGGAAACUUGGAAGGAUUAAUUUGAAGCGACUUCUUCUGUAAUAUUGUCAGCUUAUUUAAAUAUCUGUUAUAUUUUCGAUUGA